UACGUAGGCAGCGAGCGUUGUUCGGAAUUACUGGGCGUAAAGGGCGCGUAGGCGGCCUGCUAAGUCGAACGUGAAAUCCCCGGGCUCAACCCGGGAACUGCGUCCGAGACUGGCAGGCUCGAAUCCGGGAGAGGGAUGUGGAAUUCCAGGUGUAGCGGUGAAAUGCGUAGAUAUCUGGAGGAACAUCGGUGGCGAAGGCGGCAUCCUGGACCGGUAUUGACGCUGAGGCGCGAAAGCCAGGGGAGCAAACGGG
rnacentral:rRNA from 1 species